UACGAAGGGUGCAAACGUUGCUCGGAAUCAUUGGGCGUAAAGCGCACGUAGGCGGCUUUGCAAGUCGGAUGUGAAAUCCCGUGGCUCAACCAUGGACGUGCAUUCGAAACUGCGAAGCUUGAGUAUGGAAGAGGGUCGCGGAAUUCCCGGUGUAGAGGUGAAAUUCGUAGAUAUCGGGAGGAACACCAGUGGCGAAGGCGGCGACCUGGGCCAAUACUAACGCUGAGGUGCGAAAGCGUGGGGAGCAAACAGG
rnacentral:rRNA from 1 species